rnacentral:rRNA from 1 species
UCGACUGUUUAACAAAAACAUUUUUUUUAGUAAUUAUAAAAAAUAAAACCUGCCCACUGAUUAAUUAAAGGGCCGCGGUAUUAUGACCGUGCUAAGGUAGCAUAAUCAUUAGUCUCUUAAUUAGGGAAUUGUAUGAAUGGUUAAACCUGUAAAAACUUUUUUAUCUUAAAAUUUUUAAGUUUUAGUUUCAAUGAAAAUUUUGAAAGGUUGUAGAGGGACGAUAAGACCCUAUAGAGCUUAAUAAAUAUAUAAAAUUUAAAGUAUGGGGGUAUAUUAAAUUUUAUAUAUUUGUUUUAUUGGGGCAAUAAAAGAAUAAAAAGAACUUCUUAUAAUUUUUAUUAUCUAAAACUUUUAACUUUAAAUAGUUACCUUAGGGAUAACAGCGUUAUAUUUUCUUAGAGACCUAAUCGACGAAGUUGUUUGCGACCUCGAUGUUGAAUUAAAAUUUCUUUUUAAGGCAGCUUUUAUUAUAGAUAGUCUGUUCGACUAUAAAAAUUUUACAUGAUUUGAGUUCAGACCGGA